rnacentral:rRNA from 1 species
AUUGAACGCUGGCGGCAGGCUUAACACAUGCAAGUCGAGCGAGCGGCGGACGGGUGAGUAAUGUCUGGGAAACUGCCUGAUGGAGGGGGAUAACUACUGGAAACGGUAGCUAAUACCGCAUACCAUCAGAUGUGCCCAGAUGGGAUUAGCUAGUAGGUGGGGUAAUGGCUCACCUAGGCGACGAUCCCUAGCUGGUCGGAGAGGAUGACCAGCAACAAUGGAAAUGAGACACGGGCCAGACGCGUACGGGAGGCAGAAGUGGGGAAUAUGGCACAAUGGGCGAAAGCCUGAGGCAGCCAUGCCGCGGGGGUGAAGAAGGCCUUCGGGUUGUAAAGCACUUUCAGCGAGGAGGCGUUACUCGCAGAAGAAGCACCGGCUAACUCCGUGCCAGCCGCCGCGGUAAUAC